UGUUCUCGGUUGGGACGGAACGGAUAUUUCGGCUACGACGUGAUAUUUGAAAUGCGGUCGGAACGGCGGCGAUGAGAGAAAAAUUAUAGGAGAUCGGCGUCCGCGUAGCCGUCGGGGGGCAUUGACACUUUUCUACGUCAAUCUGGUCGGCGGUGAUCGAUCCUCAAAGAUACCAACGUACAUACGUCUCGUAAAUUAAUAUUCAUUCGGCUCCUGUGGAGCACAUUUGUUCAAACGGAAUCUGUUGUUCCACAGCCGCGCACGGCUCGCUUAUAUCCGUCGUGCCGGCUGUUUGUUCAGCGCGAAGUUCAACCGCCAGCGGCGGGUCGUCGUCGUCGUUACCUAACCUUAAAAUUUCCUCGCUUAAUGUCUAUUCAUAGUCUUAACCGAUGUAUAUAUAUAUAUAUAUAUAUAUAUAUAUGUAUACAUUCGCUUCGUCGGCAUGGAAAAUCAUAAUUUGACUGGCGAUAUCGAGGAUGAAAAUUGAACCGAGUAACGUGUCGCGGGGGCUGGCUUCGGGCGUUCCCAAGGCCUCGGGAUUUAUCGCACGGGGCGAGGAAAAGUGAAUAGAGAUAAUCACCGAAUUUUAGGUUAGACUAGGGGAGAAAAUCUAGUGUCACUCCUAAGUUGGCGGCACUGAUGACAUGGAUCAACGUCAAUGGGUGGAAUUUAUUUUUCCACGUACUAGCGGCGGCUGUGCGACUCUUCUGGAACGCGCCUUUUUUCUAUGCGCGAACCCUCUCUCGAGACGCCAUCAGGGAACAAUAGAUUGGGUUUAGCUGGCAUAGAGCAUUUCAGUGUUCCGGGAUUUCCACAUCCCUCGAUGCCUGAGCGGAAAAAGUGUUGACAACACCUGGAAAAAUAUACCCCCCCGAAGUAACGCGAGCCCAAGUGAAUUUUAGGAGAAAAUAUUUCGUGAAGGUGGCGAAGAAAGUGAGAAAAGUAUGAGAGGAAAAAGUGAAGAGGAACGCCCCAGGGGGCCACGAAACUCCGCUGGAUACUUUGAACAAUAAACUAUUAUCAUCGCAAAAAAGAAAAAAAAAAAAAAAAUGCUCGGCAAAGUGAAUUAAUUUUUUUUUUUUCUUUGCUCUUUUGAUCCGACGACGCCAGUUCCAAGAAUUUCUGGCCGUGAAUUUGAAAUUCAGAAACGCCCGACCAUCAUCUACGAUAUUCUUUUUUCUUUUUGCUCUACGACUAGACUGAUCUGGACUAGAGCCGAGUUAUGCCGUCUAUGGCUUUGCAUCUAGUCUAUGUUUCUUCUUCUCAAUUAUGGAGGGUAGAGGUUAGGACCAUCUCCGUGUACGGAAAGUGUCUAUGAACCAGAGUACAAUUGAAAUGACGUUGCUAUAGCUUAAGUCCAACGUUUAAAAGA